rnacentral:lncRNA from 1 species
AGUUGUUCGAACGAUGACUUCAAAUCAUUAGUCCUAGAAUACAUGUCCAACGGGAGCUUGGAGGAUUGGCUGCAUUCUAGCAAUUAUGUGCUUAAUAUUUUUCGCAGGUUGAACAUAAUGAUUGACGUUGCAUCAGCUUUAAAAUAUCUCCACUUCGAUCAUUCAACUCGUAUCAUUCAUUGUGACUUAAAGCCUAAUAAUGUGUUGUUGGGUGAAAAUAUGGUUGCUCAUUUGAGUGAUUUUGGCAUAGCAAAGCUUUUAAGUGGAAGAUGAGUCUACGAUGCGAACAAAAACCCUUGCCACUAUAGGUUAUACGGCACCAGGUUUGCUUGAAACAACUUUUUUUUUUAGUUUAUUUUAAAAUUUCCAAAUUAUUGAUUUUUACGAUCCUCAUAUCAAAAUGUUAUUGAUUAUUUAUCUAAUUAUGAAAUAAUUUAAUUCAUAGAGUAUGGCAUAGAAGGAGAAAUAUCUGCAAAAAGUGAUGUUUACAGCUAUGGGAUUAUGUUGAUGGAAACUUUUACCAAGAAAAAACCCACAGAUGAGAUUUUUGUUGGAGAAUUGAGCUUAAAGCGUUGGGUUAAUGACUUGCUUCCUAAUUCAUUAGUGGAAGUUGUGGACAAAAUUCUGAUAAUUGGAGAGGAAAAACAUUUUGCCGCAAAGGAGCAAUGUCUGUUCUCUAUCUUUAUUUUGGCUCUGGAGUGUACAAUGGAAUCACCGGAAAAGAGGAUCAAUACAAAAGAUAUUGUUACCAGAUUACUCAAGAUAAGAGACACAUUGAGUAAAAGGAUAGGAAAUUUAAGUUAAUUUUGUUUGCUUUCAUUGAUAGUUACUUUGAAUUCAUGUAAUAAGUGUAAGAAUCGUUUAUCUUUUCUUUUGAUAUUUUUUUCUUGAGAAAACUGUUGUAGUCAUCUUUUUUCAAUGGGCAGAGUUGAUUUAGUUCUUCCAAGAAAUGCUAUUGUUGAUCUUUGUUAUAUACUUUUGUCUUUUUUUGCAUGCAUUUAGGUAGAAUAGUGGUCUAGCUGCAGGCUAACAAGUCAAGCUACGCUAAAAGGGUAUGAUUUAAUUUAUUAAACCUAACUUCAAGUUCAAGAAUUGUAUCUCAUUGCCACCAAUGCUUUAGACACCUAUUGGUAGGUUUGUGUCCUCAACUUUGUUUAGAGCAAAAGUUCCAGUCCCAUGGAGGCUCAAAUAUUCCUCUCCUACGUCCCGAACACACUAAAUUCAUCAGCCUCUUGAACCCUCUCCUGAGGGCGCCUUCUGUCCUCUGUUUUCUGUUUCCAUACACAAAUAGCAAAAAGAAUUCAGAAUGACAACUGGGACAUAUAUAAGAGUGAAAUAAUUAAAAAAAAUUAUGCUUUUUUGUUUGUCGUGUUAAAAUCGUAAGGUAUCUAAGUACUAUGAAAGAGAUUAGUUUACGAAAACUGAAGCCAAGGGUUCAUAAAAAAGUGCAAAGAGAAUAAAGGACAACGCUUAUGUAAAGCGACAUAAUUGUAUUGGUAGCACAAUGUCACGUUCAUACAGAGAUCAAGUACAUUAUUUACAGCUGGUAAGGGCUAAGAAUUGAUGUAGCUAGAAUACAAAUAUGAUAAGGUAUGUUGUGCACUAUUGUUUUAUUCUACAAUCAAUCUUGACCCUUGAUGCUUGGCUCUCAAUCUUGUCCAUUGAUCUUCUCUGAUCUCGAAAACUUCAAGACCUUUCAAUCUCAUGCCUUAUUAUUGGUAUGUUCUAUGCUGUUAAUUUCAAAUACUAGCUUUUCCGCCAACUUGCCAAUUAUUUGUUCAUUGGUGCGUUCUGUCAAACAGUGUGGAUACUUAUACCAAACGCUUUCUGUUUUAACUCCCCCUUUCAAGCUCAACUAUCUGGGAAGACACUAAUAAGCUUGUUUCUCAAGUAUAUGUAUCUGAAAAUUAAAUUUUCAAAAUUAUAUUCGGACUCUACAUUUUCUAAUGAACAUUGGUUUGGCUCAUAAGCUUAUUAUACUUGGGCUUGGUAGGAUUAUCGGUCGGUAGAUGAACAAGUGUUAGAGCUUUCGAAUUUAUGCCAAUUAAAAAAAAAUCUAUAUAAAUUUUCCACUAGGCUAUUACCACAAUAAACAUUUGGAUGAACUAUUAUUGAAACCUUAUUGAGAAGUAGGACAUGUCGCAUACCAAUGCACUGACAUAUCUUCAAAUAGUGGUAACUCCACACAACAUGGCACAAUAAAUUAGAGUUAUAUAGAUAAAAUCUUUCACUCUUUGGUAAUCAUCAAUGUCGGCAUGGCAAUGCGUCCGACAAAAUUCAUAAAUCAAAACAAAAAUAGAGAAUCAUAUUUGUUUCAGAUUGUAGUGAUGGUUGUUCAUAAUUCACAAUUUUAUUUAAUAUCUUCAAAUUCGCAUUUUAAAAUGCACAAAUGUUUGUGUAUACAUAAUUAGUAAUCGAUUCUCAAGCUUGGACAUUUAAAAGCACUGCUAAAAGACAAAAUUUUAAUUCACUAUUUUUUGUCUUUUAAUUUUCUUUAAGUUUUAAUGAUUCCGCAUUUUAAAAUCCUGUGGAACGUACAUGUAAAAUUCUUUUAUCUUUUAGAGGAAAAUGGGCAAGAGAAGAAGAUUUGGCAAAGGAAUUGCAACCGCAUUUGGAGCUAGUUUUAAUUUUGUCUUUUAAUUCUUUUACACUUGGCUUUUGUUAUUGAUGUCAACUUCGAUGUGUGUGCGUGUGCGACUGAAUUCAACUUACAUGCUAUUGAUGCAGCCACCAAAAAGGGGUGGUCCAUCAUCAAUCAACAAGGUUUAUUAUUAUUUCCAUAUUGAUUUUCUUAAUUAUAAAUAAUACUAAUGUUAUUUCAUAGUUAUAAAUAUAUUAGAAUUAAUCGAAAUCAUUUUUUAGUGUGGCAUGGCUAAAACUACCUUUUUUUUUUAUAAGUAAUUACUACUUUCACAUUAAGAAAAAUACUCCUAUUUUUAAGGAAAAGUCAAGUACCUGUAGUUGUGAAGACUCAAGCUCACUCCCUUAUGAUAAAUCUUCAUAUUAAUUACGUAAAUAUCCUCUAAAAUUUUAAAUUAGCUAUUCAAAAUUUGAUGUUAUACGGGUAUUUCAUUUAUUUGAGUAGGGGUUAGGGGUCAAUUGGAUACAAAUUCAAAAUUAUCCUUACUUGAGAAGGUGAUAAAAAUUGGGGAUUUAGUUUGGAUGUCAUUAGCUACAAAUAUUAAACUCAUACAUUUAAUUCAAAAUUAGAGGGCUGAUAUGUGCGCAUCAUCGUCCACGUUAUAGUGACACUGCGUCACCAUUCCACAACCUCUCCAAUGAAAAAUUGACAUGCUUCUUGUGCGCAUCUAAUCAGAAUCUUGAAAAUUAAUCACAAAAUUGUACUUUUAUUAUAAAAAGAAUAAAGAAACUCCAAGAAAAAAAAAAAGACUUACAUAAAUAGAUUGAAAAAUCUAGAUUUCAAGUUGUCUAUAUUAGCUUGAUAUUUUUAUUAAUAGUCAUCCUCCCAAAAAAAUUCCAUCAAAAUAUAUUUUAAUUUUAUGUUAAUUCAUAAACAUGAAAAAAUCAUUUUAGAAUUAAUUAAAACAUAAUUUAUUGUUGCUCAAAAAAGGUAGAACUUAGUUAUCAGAAAAAAGUGUCUAAAAUAUAUGUUAAAAAAAAAUCAUGGUUGGUUGGACUGAUUGAAUUUUUUUUUUCUUUUUUAAGAAUUAAGACAAUUGGAUGGAUUGAGUAAUAAUAAUACAUAUUUAUUUGGCAAAUGGCAGGGAGGCUUUCGUCUGAUGCAGAUUGAUUAGAGAGAAAAUAUAACAAUUUUAAGCUCGUCAGAUUCGAAGCUGCUUACCUGUCGUGUGGGGAUCACUUCCGUGUCUUAUUUUUCUAGAAAAAUCUGGACCAUUGGAUUUACCAUUAGUCAAUAGAGAAAUGUUGAUCUUGAUUCUUGAUCAAGAUCGAAGUUUGAUUCUAACUAACACGAUAUCAGAUUGCGAAGCAAGCAAAUUGAAAGUCACUUGUUCUAUGGAAGAAACACAAGUUCUAAUAAAACAUUCUCAUAGUAAAGUGAAUUACCAUCCAACGAUCCAACUCAUGUUUUCAAAUUGUAAAUUGCAAAUCGUGUGUUUGCUCCAUUACAGAGUUUCUUCAAUCUGAAAUAGCGAAUCAUUUGUGUUCUAGAUUAAUCGUGGGUCUAUAUCCAAAUCUAAAAAUUGACUAACUUGAUUUCUAUUAAAUUCUUAAUCCUAACAAGAAAAAUUGAAGAUUAAAAACGACUAAUUUGGUACCAUACCACUAUUGUAACAUAGGUAGAUCCUCUAUUAAUUGGAGUAAAGAUUGAAUUAUCUCAUUUAUUAAGGUUUAUCAAAAUCUUGUGUCAAAAUCUAUUAAUGAUAUAGGUUCAAGGAUGAAAAAGUCACUGCAUUACUUUUGAGUUCCCAAAUAGAUGAAUGGAUGUUAUUUUUAGAUUCCGGAGAGUCGAAAAUAUUAAGAUAGGUGCUAAAUCGAAUUAAGUUGUAGAUACGAUAGAAAUGGAUUUGGAGAGAUUGGAAUCCUAGGUAAUCCGGUGCACGUUGUCGUGUUAAAUUCUCGUUGACUUCACGUUGACUGAAGCAUUAUUGGAAGAAACAAGUUUAUUGAUGUGAGGCCUUUGAGGUUGUAAGUGUUAAAUCUGAGAAGAAUACCCACACACCCAUUAUCCUAUUACUCUUAUAUCACAUGAAGAGAAUUCAACAUUUGAUUCACACGGAAAAAAUUUGUGAGGAAUGUGAGGGUUGAUGGAAUAUAAUUUAGAUACAAAGUGUUUACCAGUGCGAUGCUUCGCAAGUGUUCUUGAAUCAAUAUAAACUCACAUUAUUUUCAUAGUGAUUGUUUCAUCUGCACGUUAAUAUAAUCACAUGUCGAGAUUUUUUUCCUUAAAUUAUGGUCUUAUUUAGUAUUGAGGUGUUAUAUCUUUUAAGGUACAAUUAUUGUUGGAAAAAAGUUACAACUAUCAAAUAAAAUUAAUACUAUGUGCUAAAUAUAAUUGUUAAAUAAUAAUUUUGACAAAAUUAGUGAAGUUAUAUAGAUUUUUUUCAUCAUCCAAGUAUAAAAUCAAAUCAACUUAACUUCUAAGUUAUAUAUCGGCUACUGUUUAUCAUAUGUUUUAGUUUUGUAACUUUUAAAUUAUAGUUACCCAACCUCAAUUCUAAACAAGACCUAUAAAGAUCAAAGAUUUCCUCAUUAAAUUAUAUGUCUUGUGAUUGCUUAUUUAAUUUAUAUUUUUGUUAUUUAUCUUUAUUAAUUAUAAUCAUCUUUUUAUAAAUUAAAAUUGAAGGAAGUUGAUUGAUGUUGUUGACACACACACGCACGCGCACGCACACACUCACAAAGAUAUAUUGGAAGUGCUUACGUCGACUCGAAGUUGUUGGGAAUUAAUGCAUGUAUUGAUUUAUUGGGAGUGUUUAAAUGAUUUUGUGAUUUACUUGAUUUAUUGAUUGAAUAUUGUUUGAUUGCUUCAUAUCCAUUCUAGAAAGUUUAUUUCUUUGUGAAAGUUCAACGAAAUAUGUUUUUUUUUUUAAAUAAGGGUGUUCUAAAUAAUUUUAAAAAAUAUAUGCUUGUCUUCCCAAAAUAGCCUUUGAAUACACAAGUAAAUGUCUAGCCUUUGGUGAGGAUAGUUUGGUCAUUGCAUUUUACAAGUAAGAUGAGUGGUGGAGAAAAAUGAGGAGUGCACAUAACUCUUCAGCAAAUCCCACCAACAAUUCCAUUUUCUUAAUUAAUUAAUCUCCUUUUUUAUCCCCAAACAAAUCCUAAUGAUACUAUUAUCAGGUUUAAAACAGUACACAAAUAGUGAAAAGCUAACUAGUCUGUAGAGUAAUUUGCUAAUUGCUAUCUCCUCUCUAUGCUCGCUGAAUAAUUUGUUGCAUGCAAACUUUUUAUUUUAUGCAAAUCAUACGUACUGUAACAUUGGAAUUGAUGUAUAAGCAAAAAUACAAUAAUAUUUAUGUCAAUACAAAUAGUUUUUUUUCCCUUUUUAAAUAAACACAACGCGAUGUUGCUCUGCUCUACAUUUUUGCUAUCUCUUUAUUAUUAUUAUUUUUUUUUGGGCUUCUUAAAGCCUCAAACUUUGAUAACCAAAACUUCAUCGACCUAUGAAAAAAUCUGCAGAUUAGUUUUUAUUAUCGGAAUAAUUGUUUGAGAAUACUAAAACAAAAUAUAAAAUAAGAAAAUACGGGGUUAAAUUUGGGGAAAACAAAAAGGCAUGUUGGAUAGAUUACUAUAGUUUAAGGGGAAAAAAAAAUUCAAUUGGAAAUUUUUUUCUUUAAUUUUUGUUUUACUUGAUUGAGAUUUCUCCUUAGUCCUUACAGUUUUAAGUUUGGAUGCCGUAGGGUUAGUAAUUUAGUAUUUCCCUUGCAAGCUGAGCUUAAGGAUGAAAUUUCUUUUAAGAAAUUAAAAAAGAUUAAAAAAAGCAUACCAAUAGGUAAUUAUAAAUAACCAUAAAUAAACAUAAACAAAAUGUUUAUGAAGUAAAUUACACAUGCACAUAUUAUUUUUUUGUUAUAUUUCUUACUUGUCUAUUUUAUUUGCUGCUUGAUAACCCGUAAAUACUAAUCUAGUACUGCUAAUUUCAGACACAAAAUGUUUAACUCUAGGCUGCAGUUUUACUCAAAAUGAUGACCACUGGCUUCGCACCAUUUAACCGGCAUACAUUUCUACAAAUUGAACAAGGCUAUUGAUUUUCAUUAUUAUUUUUUAUUUAUUUAUAAAUUACUAUUUUAAUUUUCACUUUUUAUUGGGUUGUUUACAGAUUAGUGAAGUUGGUGGUCGUGAUGCACUCACAAGGUACAAUUUUAUUUUAUAAUUUCAAAUUUGUAUUUUAAAAUGCAGGUACAUUAUGUAUACAUAAUUAUUGAUUUUCAUAUGUGGGUGUUUUGAAAUAUUGCUAAAAGACCAAACUUUAAUAAACUAUUUUUUAUCUUUUUUUUUCCUAAAGUUUGAGUGAUAUCCGCAUUUUAAAUUCAUGUGGAACAAAAGCUAAUGUAUGCUCAAAAUUCUUUUAUUUUUUCCGAGAAGAAUGGGUAAGAGAAGAAGAUUUUUCUGUUGAAAAAGAAAAACUAAUACGAUGCAAGCAUAGGAAAGAGGUCAGUGUUUUGGAUUAGAAUUUAGUAUUGAGCUGAAUUUUAUACUAAACUCUUUUAUAGUACUGCGAUUAAUAAACUCAUGAUUUGCUUUUGCUUUUACUUCAAGUGAAAGAAAGAGGAAACCGUUUGAUUUUUGUUUGAUUCUUGACUAUAGAUGUUACCUAUAUAGAGAGUUGAGGUAGCUGCCUUAAGUGAUGGUUAUAAAAAGAUUAAGCAGCGCACACAAUCUUACUGUCGUCCAGACCAUCCAGCUAUGAUGACUCUAGUUUUUUGGUUACAUUAACUUUAGUGGAAAGGAGGGCCAAUUUAACAAAGACUAGAUUUGGUGGCUUACUAUAAUGCUUAUUCUCAGGGAAUCUAAUGUUAUAAGAUGAUUUAAUGAUCUUCUAUGAUUGUGAGUAGUAUAGUAUAAUUGAAAAGAGCUUGGGCUCCUAUGAUGAAUAUUUAAUAGUAACACAGUACUGUUAUUGAAAAAAACACAGUUACAAUAAACUCUUCAUUUAUUCAUUGUGGAGAUUGAAUGGCAAACAGAGAAUAAAAUGAAGCAGAGGAAUCUCAUUGCCAGUAAAAUUGACCCUCUUUAAUGUUAUAUGGCACAGGUGUGUGUACAGCAAGAUCAAGUUACUUGCAGUUUUUAUUGUAAAAUAUAUAGGUUAUGACCAUGAUCAUUGUAGUUAGGUUUUGAUGAUUUUAGAUGCUUUUUUUAUUUUUUUUAAAAUUGUGACACCUUUGAUUUAUGGUAGCUUUGCAGAAGAAAAAUAUAUAUAUAUAAAUUAGGAGGGAUGAGUUAACUAACGAUUGCAAUCAUUACAGUAAUGUUGAUGAGUGAUACAUCAUUUGAAAUUUACUUGUCAGUUACUGAAAUGAUGAAAAAAAACAAUAAACAAUAGCAGUAAUAUUUUUAUGGAAAAUCUUGGUUUUUAUGGAAAUACUCUUGCUGAAAUUCUAAUUUUGACUUUCAACUCUUGGUUUUUAUGGAAAGUAAAAUGACUUGUUUGUUAUAUUCAUACAAUCCACUCUACAUAAUGAUUUCAUUUUAAUAAAUGCUUGAUGAUCUCCACUGAAAAACUACUUCAAUUCUUUUGUUUUAUUUAACUUUUUGGUUGUUGAAAAUAGCCUUAAUUUUCAAAUAAUUGGAGAAAGAGUAAAGAACAUUUAACAAAUUUAUGUGCCAAAAAUAAAGGAGAAAUUGAAGAGAAAGGGUGCUUGCAGAAGUGGGUGCAAAGAUAAAUCAGUCCAUAAGAAUUAUUGUGGUUAUUAAGUUUUUGGCAAUAUAAAAAUUUUUCAGCAAAUAAAAAUUGAUUUUUUCCGAUUUACUAAAAAAUUAAUUAAAAACUUCGGUGAUAGCAUUUUUUAUGGGUGCAUGUACCCUCCCUUUAAAAAAAAUAUAAUAAUUAAUACUUAAUAUAGUAUUAAAUACGAAAAUAUCAAUAUUUGACUACACAAAUUUAUAUCAUUAGGUCCUUAAAAUUUAAAAUUGAAGACACAAAAUGAAAUAUAUAUAAAUUUCAUUCUCACAGGAAAGGAUCCUCUUAUAAUCUUAAAAUAUUUGAGCUUUGAAAGAUUUUUUAAAACAAAUGUACUUUUAUUUUUGUACAAUCAAUAUUUACUUAUUUAUUAUAUUUUUAUUCAUUAACUAUCAAUCAUGUGAGUAUAUUUACUCAGAAAUAUCAUAUCAAGGAAGAAUCUUGAUCCCACGCACACACAAAUAUGUUAAUUUCUAUACGCUUCACUUACCUGUAGAAUCAAUUAUCUAAAAUGCAAGUUUGUGGCCACAAAAAAAGCCAAAGAAAGAAGAUAAUAACAAUUGACUUGUAUAUUAUACUCAUACAAUCCACUCGACAUAAUGAUAUCAUUUUAAUAAGGCAAUGGCUGAUGAUCUCCAUUGAAAAACCAAUUCAAUUUUUUUGCUUCAUUUAACUUUUUGGUUGUUGAAAAUAACCUUAAUUAUCAAAUAAUUGGAGAAAGAGUAAAGAACAUUUAACAAAUUUAUGUGCAAAAAAAAAAAAAAAAAAAGGAGAAGUUGAAGGGAAAGGGUGCUUGCAGAAGUGGGUGUCAAAGAAAAAUCUGUCCAUAAGAAUUAUUGCGGUUAUUUUUUGGCAAUAUAAAAUUUUUAUAGCAAGUAAAAAUUAAUUUUUUCCAAUUUACUAAAAAAUUAACUAAAAACUUCUGCGACAACAUUUUUUAUGGGUGCAUAUACCCGCCCUUUAAAAAAAAAAAUAAUUAAUGCUUAAGUUAGUAUUAAAUACGAAAAUAUCAAUAUUUGACUACUCAAAUUUAUAUCAUUAGGUCCUUAAAAUUUAAAAUUGAAGAUACUAAAGGAAAUAUAUAUAAAUUUCAUUCUCAUGGAAAGGAUUCUCUUAUAAUCUUAUAAUAUUUGAGUUUUGAAAUUUUUUUGAAACAAAUGUAAUUUUAUUUGUGUACAAUCAAUAUUUACUUAUUUAUUAUAUUUUAAUUUAUUAACUAUCAAUCAUGUAAGUAUAUUUAGUCAGAAAAAUUAUAUCGAGAGAGAAUCCUAAUUUCACGCAAACACAAAUACAAGACAAAUAUGUUAAUUUCUAUACUAUUCACUUUCCUGUAGAAUCAAUUAUCUAAAAUGCAAGUUUGUGGCUAUAGAAAACUCGCCAAAGAAAGAAGAUAAUAACAAUUGAGCAUUGAUAGCAAAACUAAUGCAUCAUUUUCUUCUUGACUUGAUGAGAUGGUGCCAUUACAAAACAAUAAUUACCUUAAUUGACGGGCACUGAGUGAUGUGAAUACUACCAGCCAGUUCAUCUCUUCCAGUCUUGCUUAAUCACAAUCACAAACACCACGAGAUUGACAUUUGCAUUAUAUAUAUCUUCAGCAAUCGAAACACCUUGCAUUACCAAAUUAACCGGUAACAAACAAAGCAACCUUUCAUGGAGAGAAACUUUAGUCUCAGUAUGAUCACUGUGUCAUUAACCCACUUCCUGCUUCUUUGCUUGGUUGUUGCAGCAGCAGCAGCAGCAGCAAGCAACAAUAUUACCACAGACCAACAAGCUCUUCUUGCCCUGAAAGAUCAUAUAACUUAUGAUCCAACCAAACUUUUUGCCCAUAAUUGGACCUCGAAUACCUCUGUUUGCACCUGGAUUGGCCUCAGUUGUGAUGUCAAUAGCCAUAGAGUCACAGCCUUAGAUAUUUCUCAAUUCAAUAUACAAGGCACCAUCCCUCCUCAACUUGGAAACCUCUCUUCACUCACAACACUUAAUCUUAGUCGUAAUAAGCUUUCUGGAAGCAUUCCCCCCUCCAUCUACACCAUGCAUACGCUAAAAUUUCUAGACUUCACUGAUAACCUGCUCUCUGGUUCAGUGUCUUCCUCCGUCUUCAACAUGUCUUCAAUAUUAGACAUUCGUUUGACCAAUAACAGACUUUCUGGUGAGCUUCCGAAAAAUAUUUGCAACUAUCUUCCUUACUUGAAAGCCCUUUUUCUGGACAAAAACAAGUUGCAUGGCAAAAUUCCUUCAGCUUUAUCAAAUUGCAAACAACUGCAACAAUUGCAUUUGCAGUUCAAUAAUUUAUCCGGUGCAAUACCGAAAGAAAUCGGCAACUUGACUAUGCUCAAAUGGAUAGAUCUCGGCUACAACAAACUCCACGGUAUGUUUCAUAAUGCUAUCUAAAUAUUUUAAUUUAUCACUUGUUUAUUUUAAUUUCUCACUUGUUAUUUUUCUUGAAUACUUUAGAUAAGAUCUAGUAAGUGAGAUUUUUUGCAUCUAUGUUAAUUUACCAGGUGAGAUACCCCCCGAAAUCGCUAAUCUUCGAAAUCUAGAGGCUUUGGUGCUUGGAAUGAACAACCUAGUGGGUGUGUUACCAGCUACAAUCUUCAACAUGUCAACACUGAAGGUAGUUAUCCUCAUUAAUAACUCUCUCUUCGGAAGUCUCCCAUCAAGAAUAGACCUUUCACUUCCAACUAUUGAGCACCUUAACUUGGCACUUAAUAGAUUUUCUGGAACCAUUCCUAGUUCCAUCACCAAUGCUUCUAAGCUCACCUUUCUAGAGUUGGGAGGAAACACAUUUUCGGGCUUUAUUCCGAACACAAUUGGUAAUUUAAGAAACCUUGAGUGGCUCAGCUUGGGUAAUAACUACUUGACAUCUUCAACCUCAAAAUUGAGCUUUCUUUCCUCUUUGGCAAAUUGCAAGAAAUUAAGAGACAUAGGCUUAACAGGCAAUCCACUCGACGGUAUCCUUCCAAGUUCAAUAGGUAAUCUUUCCAUGUCUUUGAAAACACUUUACAUCGGCAAUUGCAGUAUUAGUGGCAACAUUCCUCAAUCAAUUGGCAAUUUAAGCAACUUAUUGGCCUUAGUAUUAGAAGGCAAUAAAUUGACCGGACCAAUCCCAACUACAUUCGGCCAACUGCAGAAACUCCAAGGCUUAUUUCUUACAUUCAAUAAGUUGGUAGGUUCAUUCCCAGAUGAGCUUUUCCAUCUAGCUAGGCUGGAUAAAUUGGUAUUAUUGGGAAAUAAGCUUUCAGGAUCUAUGCCUUCAUGCUUAAGUAACCUCACUUCUCUGAGAUCUCUCUACUUAGGGUCCAAUAGGUUUACUUCUGUUAUUCCCUCAACUUUCUGGAGCCUAAAAGACAUCUUGUUCUUUGACUUUUCAUCAAAUUUCUUGGUUGGUACUCUUUCUUUCGACAUAGGUAAUUUGAAGGUGCUUCUAGGAAUAAGUUUAUCAGAAAAUAACUUAUCGGGUGAUAUGCCAGCCACAAUUGGAGGGAUAAAAAAACCUUCAAAUUAUGGACCUAGCAUAUAAUAGAUUGGAAGGGCAAAUUCCUGAAUCAUUUGGUGACUUGACAAGUUUGGAGGUUUUGAAUUUGUCAAAUAAUAAAAUCUCUGGGUCUAUUCCAAAAUCCAUGGAGAAACUCUUUUACCUCCGAGAGUUAAAUCUCUCUUUCAAUGAACUAGAAGGUGAGAUUCCUAGUGGAGGAAUUUUUGCCAACUUCACAGCUGAGUCAUUUAUGGGAAAUGAGUUAUUGUGUGGUUUACCAAAUCUUCAAGUCCAACCAUGCAAAGUUAGCAAGCCGAGGACAGAACAUAAAUCAAGGAAAAAGAUACUUCUCAUUGUGAUUGUUUUGCCAUUGAGUAUUGCUCUAACAAUAGCAAUCACUCUACCUCUCAAAUCUAAGCUGAUCGAAUGUGGAAAAAGAAGCACAGUGUUGUCAAAUGAUAGUGUCUUGUCAUCACAAGCAACACUAAGAAGAUUUUCAUACUUAGAACUUUUACAAGCAACAGAUAAUUUUGCUGAAAACAACGUAAUUGGCAUAGGAGGUUUUGGUUCUGUUUACGGUGGAAGACUUGAAGAUGGGAUGAAGAUUGCAAUAAAAGUGUUUCACCAGCAAUGUGCAAGCGCAUUGAAGAGUUUUGAGGCUGAAUGUGAAGUGUUAAAAAAUAUUCGCCAUCGAAACCUUAUUAAAGUUAUCAGCAGUUAUUCAAACAAUGACUUCAAAGCAUUAGUUCUAGAAUACAUGUCCAACGGGAGCUUAGGGGACUGGCUGCAUUCUAGCAAUUAUGUGCUGAAUAUAUUUCAGAGGUUGAACAUAAUGAUUGAUGUUGCAUCAGCUUUAGAACAUCUCCACUUCGAUCAUUCGACUCCUAUUAUUCAUUGUGACUUAAAGCCUAGUAAUGUAUUGUUGGACGGAAAUAUGGUUGCUCAUUUGAGUGAUUUUGGCAUAGCAAAGCUUUUAAGUGGAGAGGAUGAGUCUAUGAUGCGAACAAAAACCCUUGCCACUAUAGGUUAUAUGGCACCAGGUUUGCUUCAAACAACUUUUUUUUUUUAGUUCAUUUUAAAUUUUGCAACUUAUUGAUUUUUACGAUCCUCACAUCAAAAUGUUAUUGAUUAUUUAUCUAAUUUUGAAAUUAAUUUGAUUCAUAGAGUACGGCAUAGAAGGAGAAGUAUCUACAAAAAGUGAUGUUUACAGCUAUGGGAUUAUGUUGAUGGAAACUUUUACCAAGAAAAAACCCACAGAUGAAAUUUUUGUUGGAGAAUUGAGCUUGAAGCGUUGGGUUAAUGACUUGCUUCCUACUUCAUUAGUGGAAGUUGUGGACAAAACUCUGCUAAGUGGAGAGGAAAAACAUUCUGCAGCAAAGGAGCAAUGUCUGUUGUCUAUCUUUAGUUUGGCUCUGGAGUGUACAAUGGAAUCACCGGAAAAGAGGAUUAAUGCAAAAGAUAUUGUUACAAGAUUACUCAAGAUAAGAGACACAUUGAGUAAAAGGAUAGGAAAUUUAAGUUAAUUUCGUUUGCUUUCAUUGAUAGUUAAUUCGAAUUCAUGUAAUAAGUCUAAGAAUCUUAU